rnacentral:rRNA from 1 species
UACUGCAGUCGAACGAACUUCCGUUAAUUGAUCAGGACGUGCUUGCACUGAAUGAGAUUUUAACACGAAGUGAGUGGCGGACGGGUGAGUAACACGUGGGUAACCUGCCCAGAAGCAGGGGAUAACACCUGGAAACAGAUGCUAAUACCGUAUAACAGAGAAAACCGCCUGGUUUUCUUUUAAAAGAUGGCUCUGCUAUCACUUCUGGAUGGACCCGCGGCGCAUUAGCUAGUUGGUGAGGUAACGGCUCACCAAGGCGAUGAUGCGUAGCCGACCUGAGAGGGUAAUCGGCCACAUUGGGACUGAGACACGGCCCAGACUCCUACGGGAGGCAGCAGUAGGGAAUCUUCCACAAUGGACGCAAGUCUGAUGGAGCAACGCCGCGUGAGUGAAGAAGGGUUUCGGCUCGUAAAGCUCUGUUGUUAAAGAAGAACGUGGGUGAGAGUAACUGUUCACCCAGUGACGGUAUUUAACCAGAAAGCCACGGCUAACUACGUGCCAGCAGCCGCGGUAAUACGUAGGUGGCAAGCGUUAUCCGGAUUUAUUGGGCGUAAAGCGAGCGCAGGCGGUCUUUUAAGUCUAAUGUGAAAGCCUUCGGCUCAACCGAAGAAGUGCAUUGGAAACUGGGAGACUUGAGUGCAGAAGAGGACAGUGGAACUCCAUGUGUAGCGGUGAAAUGCGUAGAUAUAUGGAAGAACACCAGUGGCGAAGGCGGCUGUCUGGUCUGUAACUGACGCUGAGGCUCGAAAGCAUGGGUAGCGAACAGGAUUAGAUACCCUGGUAGUCCAUGCCGUAAACGAUGAUUACUAAGUGUUGGAGGGUUUCCGCCCUUCAGUGCUGCAGCUAACGCAUUAAGUAAUCCGCCUGGGGAGUACGACGCAAGGUUGAAACUCAAAAGAAUUGACGGGGCCCGCACAAGCGGUGGAGCA